AAUGUGCAUGUUCCUGGGUUCACCCAGGACCAUAGGCCCUAAACCCCAGCUCCCACCACCCCGCCCUUAGUUCACAGUGUCCAGAGUCCUGCUGUCUGCCUGCCCCAUGCUCCAUGAGCCAUCCCACUCAUCCUGGGACAGCCUGAUGCUCACAGCCACAGGGCUCCUCAGAGCUGUCCCUUCCUUGGGUUUGAGGCCGGGGGACUUUGAAUCCUAAUUGUGGAGCCACCUUGAACUCCCAGGGCAGAUGGAUGAGAAAGGACAUCCUUGAUCACCCAUGCAUUUGAAGGCGGUUCCCAGUACUCCACCUAUGUACAUAUGAGGAUGGAGAGGCAUUAAGGAAAAGGUGGGACAAGAUGAGAGAAUAACUCAUUAACUGAAGGGAAGGAGGGAGCUUGGCUAGUUUCUUGUCUCUCCCGCCCUUGGGCGCCUCGGAAAUACACAAUGGAAAGCCACACAGGUGAAAUCAGACGUAGGUGGAGCUCAAGGGAGGACCUAAGCGGGGAGGGGACCUCUAGAGUUAAGGGAGCCAUGUAUGCUGGCUCACACUUGUAAUCCCAGUGCCCAAGAGGUAGAGGCAGGAGGAUCAGGAGCUAAAGGUCAUCCUUGACUACUUAGUGAGUUCAAGGCCAGCCUGAGCUACAUGAGACCCUGUCUCCACAACAAACACCUCAGGAAAUAAGAGUGGACUAUUGCUGGGCCGUGGUGGCAUAUGUCUUUAAUCCCAGCACUUAGGAGGCAGAGACAGGCGAAUCUCUGUGAGUUCGAGGCCAGCCUGGACGACAGAAUGAGUUCUAGGACAGCCAGGGCUACCCAGAGAAACCCUGUCUUGAAAAACAACAACAACAACAGAAAAGCGUGGACUGUUAAGGAACAUAAAAGGUCCCUUGUGGAACUGGAUCUCUAAGCAAGAAACUGGGGACCUACAGCCAAUAACGCCCAUUUGGUGAGCCCACUUCGCCCACCAGACUAGCUGCAGUCCAACACCCCUCAAGCUACAGGUCAACGCACUUGCAGGCUACAACUGGUAUUGGGUACGCGUGUGUUUCUUUCUUCUUCUUAAAGAUUAUCGUUAUUUUAAAUUUAUUUUAUGUAUAUGGGUGUUCUGCCCAUGUCCCUGCAUACCACAGUCCCACUGAUGCCAGAGAGGGUGUCGGGAAUCCCUGCAACUGGAGUUAGAUGGUUGUGAGCCACCAUGUGGAUGCCGGGAACUGAACCCACGUCUUCUGCAAGAGCGUCAAGUGUUCCUGACUGCUGAGGAAGCCCACUCUUUCCGCUUUCCAUGCUGGAGCUCCAGCUAGCACCAUGCAUAGGCCAAGCACAAGCUCCACCUCUCCGUCGACUAACAUACUAGCUGCCUUACAUUUA